rnacentral:lncRNA from 1 species
AAGCCAAGCCGAUAAAAGGCUAUAUUGUCUAAAAGUCGAUCAAAGAUUCUUUCUACGUUAGGCCGAUCAAAAAAUAUAUUAUCUAAAAAUCGAUCAAAGACUUCUUCUACAUUGGGCCGAUCAAAGGUCGUGUUGUCCAAAAGUUGAUCAAAGACUCCUUCUACAUUGGGCCGAUCAGAGGCCAUGUUGUCUAAAAGCUGAUCAAAGGCACCUUCUAUGUUGGGCCAAUCAAAGAUCAUGUUAUCUAAAAAUCGAUCAAAGGCUCCUUCUG